UAUUGCUUCUGCAAUACAUAUACUAAAAUUGGAACGAUACAGAGAAGACUAUCACAGCCCCUGAGCAAGAAAGACACAAAUGUGUGAAGCAUUCCGUAUUUUU